rnacentral:lncRNA from 1 species
GGAUCCAUAAUGAAGUGUCUGAAUACUAGGAACUAGUGGGCUGCAUCUCGACAUUAGAGACGGUAGUGGAGUUUAAUAGAAAGGGAAUGUUUUUCUUUAACAAAAAGAGCUUUCUGACUUAUAUAUAAACCUAUUUAGACAUUUAACUAGUUUUUGUAUGAUUGUAGAGAGGAUGAUGUCAGGAGGAAAGUAGAACUUCAAUUCAUGUGGACAAUAAUGACUAAUUAUAAAACUAUGAAGAUAUUUCUUUGCAGGGAAAUGGAAUUAUAGGGGGAAAUUUGUUUUAGGAAGUAAUUUUAGGUGUUUGCUGAGGUGGUAUGUUGGACAGCAGUAAUUAUGUUUCAAUUUGGCCACAGGAAAAGGGUUCAAACUAGUGAAUAAAGUUUCUGAUCAGUUGUCAAUCUAAAUAGAUACUAUGAUGGGUUUUUGAAGGUUCUUUUCUGAUAUUCAUAGCUGAUAACUUAAGUAUCAAAAAGUGGCUCAGGGUAUGCAGACAGGCAGGUAUUGCAUUACAUUAUAUAUCUCAUCCAUUUUAAUGAAGUACGAGCAGAAUAUACAUUAAAAAACUAACAAUGGUGGGUGCUCAGUUUUUGGUAAGCAAUGUUUUAGGCCAACCUUUAUUUGCAGAUACUGCCACUUUGCUUCCUGUUUUCUCCCUUUAUCCUGAAGCCACGGUGUUAUUUUCUGUAGCUACAAGGCUUCUUGGGGUCUUGCACAAGAAUAUGUGAAUUAUAUGUUGGAGAUAGAUCAUUCUUACCUCUUUGCAUUUCUUGAUCUUAUGGUGUAAUAUUUGUGGCAG